rnacentral:rRNA from 1 species
CCUAGGGGGGCUCCAGUGGGGAAUAUUGCACAAUGGGCGCAAGCCUGAUGCAGCAACGCCGUGUGAGUGAAGAAGGCCUUCGGGUUGUAAAACUCUGUCCUAAGGGAAGAAACAAAUGACGGUACCUUAGGAGGAAGCCCCGGCUAACUACGUGCCAGCAGCCGCGGUAAUACGUAGGGGGCAAGCGUUAUCCGGAAUCACUGGGCGUAAAGGGUGCGUAGGCGGCCUGGCAAGUCAGAGGUGAAAGGCAUUGGCUCAACCAAUGUAAGCCUUUGAAACUGUUGGGCUUGAGUGCAGGAGAGGUAAGUGGAAUUCCUAGUGUAGAGGUGAAAUUCGUAGAUAUUAGGAGGAACACCAGUGGCGAAGGCGACUUACUGGACUGUAACUGACGCUGAGGCACGAAAGCGUGGGGAGCGAACAGGAUUAGAUACCCCCGUAGUC